rnacentral:rRNA from 1 species
UUCUAAAACAAUCUCCUGAACACGCCUGAUCCCAUCUGAUCUCAGAAGCUAAGCAGGGUUGGGCCUGGUUAGUACUUGGAUGGGAGACACCUAGGAAGAACAGGUGCUGUAGGUG